rnacentral:rRNA from 1 species
CCUACGGGCGGCAGCAGUGGGGAAUAUUGGACAAUGGGGGGAACCCUAAUCCAGCCAUGCCGCGUGUGUGAAGAAGGCCCUCGGGUUGUAAAGCACUUUCAGUGAGGAAGAACGCCUGGUGGUUAAUACCCAUCAGGAAAGACAUCACUCACAGAAGAAGCACCGGCUAACUCCGUGCCAGCAGCCGCGGUAAUACGGAGGGUGCGAGCGUUAAUCGGAAUUACUGGGCGUAAAGCGCGCGUAGGUGGCUUGAUAAGCCGGUUGUGAAAGCCCCGGGCUCAACCUGGGAACGGCAUCCGGAACUGUCAAGCUAGAGUGCAGGAGAGGAAGGUAGAAUUCCCGGUGUAGCGGUGAAAUGCGUAGAGAUCGGGAGGAAUACCAGUGGCGAAGGCGGCCUUCUGGACUGACACUGACACUGAGGUGCGAAAGCGUGGGUAGCAAACAGGAUUAGAUACCCUUGUAGUC